rnacentral:rRNA from 1 species
UACGUAGGGUGCGAGCGUUUAAUCGGAAUUACUGGGCGUAAAGCGUGCGCAGGCGGUUUUGUAAGCCAGAUGUGAAAUCCCCGGGCUUAACCUGGGAAUGGCAUUUGGGACUGCAAGGCUGGAGUGCGGCAGAGGAGACUGGAAUUCCUGGUGUAGCAGUGAAAUGCGUAGAUAUCAGGAGGAACACCGAUGGCGAAGGCAGGUCUCUGGGCUGACACUGACGCUCAUGCACGAAAGCGUGGGGAGCAAACAGG